CUCCACAAAAUGGCCACAGGUUGAAGGGCCAGGAAGCUCCUCUCCACAUUGCCUUCCCAGGUGCUGCUGGAGGGCUGUGGCUCAGGAAGGUGUGCUGGGGAGGCAUCUGCUCUGUGGGCUGCUGCAGGGCUGCUCUCCUGCCCUGUGGAUGCAUGGGAGGCAUCCUGGGCAGGCUGAUGUUGCUGCUCCCUGCCGCACAGCUGCGCAGCUCGGACAGCGAGCCAUCGUGCAAAGCGGGCAGCCUGGCUUUGCAGGAGCUGAUCAGCGCGCAGUCAGCGCUGCCUCGUCCAGGCCAAAGAAGGACCGGCCUGAGCUGACAAGGGCGGCUGUACUGGCAGAGCGUGCCCCCGUGGUCAGCCCAGAGAGCUGCCUCAGCUGCCUGCCGCAGCAUGGGCACCAGGGCUGGGACACAGACCGGAGCUGGAGGAGUGGGGCUGCCCCCUGUGUGCCGCUAGUGCGCAGACUGGCGUUCGUCUGCGUCCUCUUCUGGCCCUUGGCUCAUACUGUCGGAGGACAAACUCUUCAUAAGUGUUGUCAGCACGCACCAAGUGCCGGAUGGACAUCACCCUGCCUCUGCACAGGGGGCACUUGCGCCUCCUCUGGAACCAGCGCCGGAUGCAGCCAAAGCAAACCCUGGUGCAUGCACGGCAUUACAUGGCUGGCAAUCAUCACGCUGUCCAGGCAGAUAAUGCGCGAUAGUCCAUCCACAGUGGCCAUGCUGUUCAGGCUGUGAUGGAGGACAGGAGAGCUCAGGCGCUGAGGGCUGCUCCUCACCACGCUGCUGCAAGCAAGCAGGGGUCCACACCUAGGAAAGGAAGAGAACGGCCACAGUCACUCGCUUUGAGCCCGGCAGGGGAGGAACAAGUGCCCACGUCCCUUGCCAAGUGCCCAAUUCCCUCCCUCCCAGCUGCCCAGGGUGAGGUGUCCCCUUACCGGCUCCCUUUGCUGCUGGGGUCUUCUGAGUGCCCCGGCUGCCUGAGCCAAGGCAGUCGGUGGAAGAAAGCUCCGGUGGCUCUGGGGACGAGCACUGAGCUUGCUGGUCAGCAGCUUCCCAGAAACGAGACCGAGCACCAAAGGCAAGACUUGCCGCUCGCUCCAAACCUCACAGACACGCUCGGCUGGAGUUCAGGCACAAGCCAGACUGAGAGAGAGACUCUGUGGCCCGGCUACAAGCAGUGAGGGCCAGGACGUCACAAUCCACCUUAGUGACGUGCUGCGUGUGUCACUGCCAGUGACAUCACAAUGGGGCCAUCAUCAUCUGCUUUUUGACUCCCAAACCACAGCAAUGGCG
ensembl:lncRNA